rnacentral:rRNA from 1 species
UCUCCUGGAAAAGGGUGGUAAUGCCGGAUGCUCCAGUUGAUCGCAUGGUCUUCUGGGAAAGCUUUCGCGGUAUGGGAUGGGGUCGCGUCCUAUCAGCUUGACGGCGGGGUAACGGCCCACCGUGGCUUCGACGGGUAGCCGGCCUGAGAGGGCGACCGGCCACAUUGGGACUGAGAUACGGCCCAGACUCCUACGGGAGGCAGCAGUGGGGAAUAUUGCACAAUGGGCGCAAGCCUGAUGCAGCGACGCCGCGUGAGGGAUGGAGGCCUUCGGGUUGUAAACCUCUUUUAUCGGGGAGCAAGCGUGAGUGAGUUUACCCGUUGAAUAAGCACCGGCUAACUACGUGCCAGCAGCCGCGGUAAUACGUAGGGUGCAAGCGUUAUCCGGAAUUAUUGGGCGUAAAGGGCUCGUAGGCGGUUCGUCGCGUCCGGUGUGAAAGUCCAUCGCUUAACGGUGGAUCCGCGCCGGGUACGGGCGGGCUUGAGUGCGGUAGGGGAGACUGGAAUUCCCGGUGUAACGGUGGAAUGUGUAGAUAUCGGAAAAGAAC